rnacentral:rRNA from 1 species
GACGAACGCUGGCGGCGUGCUUAACACAUGCAAGUCGAACGGAAAGGCCCUGCUUUUGUGGGGUGCUCGAGUGGCGAACGGGUGAGUAACACGUGAGUAACCUGCCCUUGACUUUGGGAUAACUUCAGGAAACUGGGGCUAAUACCGGAUAGGAGCUCCUGCUGCAUGGUGGGGGUUGGACCGUUUCGGCGGUUGGGGAUGGACUCGCGGCUUAUCAGCUUGUUGGUGGGGUAGUGGCUUACCAAGGCUUUGACGGGUAGCCGGCCUGAGAGGGUGACCGGCCACAUUGGGACUGAGAUACGGCCCAGACUCCUACGGGAGGCAGCAGUGGGGAAUAUUGCACAAUGGGCGGAAGCCUGAUGCAGCAACGCCGCGUGCGGGAUGACGGCCUUCGGGUUGUAAACCGCUUUCGCCUGUGACGAAGCGUGAGUGACGGUAAUGGGUAAAGAAGCACCGGCUAACUACGUG